CAGCCGCCGCGGGAAUACGUAGGUCCCGAGCGUUGUCCGGAUUUAUUGGGCGUAAAGGGAGCGCAGGCGGUUUAGUAAGUCUGGAGUUAAAGGCAUUGGCUCAACCAAUGUAUGCUUUGGAAACUGUUUGACUUGAGUGCAGAAGGGGAGAGUGGAAUUCCAUGUGUAGCGGAGAAAUGCGUAGAUAUAUGGAGGAACACCAGUGGCGAAGGCGGCUCUCUGGUCUGUAACUGACGCUGAGGCUCGAAAGCGUGGGGAGCAAACAGGAUUAGAUACCCCAGUAGUCCCUGUCUCUUAUACA
rnacentral:rRNA from 1 species